CUGGCGGAAGUGUAGCUGUUCCUCAGUAGUCACUUCUUCUUCAUCACUCCGUUUCUUCUUCAUCACUCCGUCCUUUCUCUCUUCUUUGUUUUGAUUAUUGAGGACGGGUAAAAGAAGAUAGACUCCAAAUUAUCUGGUUCCCUCUAGUUUUACUUGUCUACGCUCUCAUCGGAACCACUACUUGAACGGGCAGAACAAAUUCCUUCGGAAAGACAUGAAGAUAAUUCUAUCUUUCUGUUAGCUACUGCUGGGGUAAGAAGAUUGCGAGUCAUGAUGCAGCUUGGAUUUUCGAAAAUGCAGAAACUCCUGUUGAUGUGCAGGAAAACUUCUAUAAGGAUACUAACUGGACAGGAAGAGGCUUAUUAUAGUUGAAUCGCUCUUAACUACAAAAUGUGGACACUGAACAGUUCUUCCAGUUUACCCACUUUUAGGAGUUCUAGAUUUAGGCUGUUCGUCGUUGCAGGUUGUGAUGGAAAUCAAAGAACUGACGGAUGAUAAAUUUACUGUAGCUAAAAUUUGGUUCAGUUCAGCAUCAAAUUUUGGCAUAUUCACUGCCCAGAUUUGGUCUAAACGAGGUAUUUGAAAGGACAGUUAUCAUGCCUAGUGAAGAGAUUCACUCACAGAGAGUGUUGAUUGCAGAUUUCAGCUCAGACAUCCUUGUCUCAGUGUGAGAUUUGUUCUGAACCAUUCUUGUGAUAGCUGUUACCUACAACAUCCCCACUUCAAACAAUAUUGCUGGUCAAUUUCAAAGAAAUCGGUCCACUUUGUUUUCUCUGAUAGGGGAUCCAAAUUGGAAGCAAUGUAAAAGAAUUGCUUAGGCUGCUGCAACCCAUUCGAAAAACUUUGAUUGGUCACGAUUAACUGAGGGUAAGAACUGCAAAGGACGGUCGUCUUCCUCUAACAGCACAUAUUCAAAUUUGUUGUCCGUCCCUCAUCUAGUUUCACGGUUUCAUGCCUUAACUGGAUUUUUUUUGCCAUUUAGAGUAUGCUAGAAUUGAAUCCAAGAGCUAAUUUGACAAAAAUUUGGAAGAAAGGCGUGCAAAUAUGUUCUGGGUCGUGGAUCGACUCAAAGAAAAUUUCUGGAAACAGAAAAUAUGCUGAUCAAUUCUGUUUUCGAGUUCCAUAUUUGGCAUCUCUCCUUGAGGGAUGCAGAAAUUAACUUCGGUCCUGGAGAUGUUUCUUGGACGUUUGGAGCUGCACUGGUUGAAGGAGAGCACAAAUAGCUAAGUACUGAAGAACCUCAGACUGGUAGUUAUAACCUAAAGCUUACGAAGGUCAUCCCUUAUCCCAUUUCUUUAUUUAUGAUAUGUUUGUGUCUUGUUUUGAUUGUUUACGGGGAUCGGGUUAGGCAGACAGCAUUGUUGUUGGUGUCUGUGCCAGGUAAAAUGGGUGCUUCCACUAGGGCAUCAUUGCCAUCUUACGUUUGUCCAAAACGGCAACUAAAUUAGUCACUGUUACUGCUUCAGUUAGAAAACACAAACUAACCUUAGCAUUUUUUUCUUUUGCCGAUGUAUACUUGUAAUUUUUUCUGUGUAUUUCUUCUUUAGUGUCCAUCGUGCUCUUUUCCGCAUCUUUCCUAUUAGAGGAGAUAUGCCAUCAAUAAUUUACAUGUAAAGGUGUUGUAUCGGUCUAACUUAUCUUAACAAAAAGAAUUUCUGCUCUUGUCUUGCUUUUGAGCUUUGAUGUAGGUGGGACUGAAAAUCAUUUAAUAUAGGUUUUAGGAUUUAAAUAUGCUGAAUUUUUUUUUCUUUUUCUUGUUUGAAGUAUGAGGUUAAUAGGUCUAUGGAGAAUUCGGGGAAACUAUCAUCUAUUGGGUAGUUCUGGAAAGGUAAACCAAGUUUAGUUAAACUAAUCAAUUUGAAUCACUGGCUAUUCUGAUUAGUAAGCAACAUAUUCAAACUAGUAAUUGAUUGUCGACAUACCUUAUACCACUCAGUCUCACCCCAAGGCCCAAAUUUUUGAGUGUUAGUAUGGGAAAAAUUAGGUUGUAUAUGGAAUAAAUGGACCCCACACAAGAGAGGAGCAAAAGUAAGCAACUGUCACACUGGUUGGGUUGUCAGGGUCUGAUGAUUGAAUGCGAUGCAGCACUUGUUUAUUAAUGUGUUUUACAUGUUAUACUAUGUUUCUGUGCUGUUCUUUCCUCCUUUCUCUUUUUUCGUUUUUCCUCGUUCUGUUUAUAGGUAGAAAAGAAAGU